rnacentral:rRNA from 1 species
CUACGGGGCGCACCAGUGGGGAAUAUUGCACAAUGGAGGAAACUCUGAUGCAGCAACGCCGCGUGGAGGAUGACACUUUUCGGAGCGUAAACUCCUUUUAUAUAGGAAGAAGAUGACGGUACUAUAUGAAUAAGCGCCGGCUAACUCCGUGCCAGCAGCCGCGGUAAUACGGAGGGCGCAAGCGUUACUCGGAAUCACUGGGCAUAAAGAGCGUGUAGGCGGAUUAAAAAGUCAGAAGUGAAAUCCUAUAGCUUAACUAUAGAACUGCUUCUGAAACUCUUAAUCUAGAAUAUGGGAGAGGUAGAUGGAAUUUCCGGUGUAGGGGUAAAAUCCGUAGAGAUCAGAAGGAAUACCGAUUGCGAAGGCGAUCUACUAGAACAUUAUUGACGCUGAGACGCGAAAGCGUGGGGAGCAAACAGGAUUAGAUACCCUUGUAGUC